AAAUCCUUUACUGUUCACUUACCUCGAUGAGAUCCAUAAAACAACAUAUGAAAGUAAUAACAUUAUCAUCAUCAUGAAAUCAUAUGAACUGUAUAACAUAAUACUUACCACGCCUUUGCAUUUCAAUCAUUAAACAACAUAUUUUCCUCAUUUACGAGCCUACUAGUAUCCAUGGGGAUCCAUAGGGGUCCCACUACCCGCAAACCCUUAACAUUUAUAACCUGAUUCUAGGGCCGUCCCCAUACCCCGUCCGGUAUGGGCGCCAAAACCAUGAACCUCAAUACCCCGUCCGGUAUGAGGGUGAAACGGGCCGUCCCCAUACCCCGUUCGGUAUGGGUGCCAAAACACAUAAGGUCUCCAUACCCCGUCCGGUAUGAGAGACCACGUUCCCGGUAGGGUUCCCUACGGACCCGGUCCGUCCACCAUCUCCUAGGAUAUCUAGUGAGGUUGUCCACAUUUUCU
rnacentral:lncRNA from 1 species